ensembl:miRNA
UGUACAGGAAAAUGACCUACGAAUUGAUAGACAAUUUGGCUAAGUUUGUCUGUCAUUUUUGUAGGCCAAUAUUCUGUAU